rnacentral:tRNA from 1 species
GGGCCGGUAGCUCAGCCUGGUAGAGCACACGACUUUUAAUCGUGUGGUCGCGAGUUCGAAAACGCGAAAGCAGAGCAGACCGACAAGAGCGUCCGGAAGUCUCGUCCGGCCCA